AUAUUGGCCAAUCUUAAGAAAUGACCCAAUGCUACAUAACAUAUUACCAGACCAACUGUAAAUUAUAUAUAGAGGGGGCCCUAAUCUGAAACAAUUAUUAACUCACAACCACAUAAGAGAGAAAAAAACCUAACCCUUUCUUUCAAAAACAAGGUUUCUUCGGAUGUGUCUAGCAUGCAGAAGCACAAGCAGUAGCAAAAGACAUGUCACUUCCUUUAU